UGGUGGUUUGAGUUGUCUGGUUGAUUCCGUUAACGAACGAGACCUUUGUUGUAUAAUAGGGGGCACUAGUUUUUGUAAUAUGGUGUGGCGUACUUUUUGGUAUACGAGCAAUCGCCCCUGAAAAAUGCGUCAUGCUUGCAUAGCUAGUGUCGGUUUUCUUCUAUACAAGACAAAUAAAGAAAAUUUAUUGGAAGUUAUAGGCAAAAACA
rnacentral:rRNA from 1 species